GUGUCAGCCGCCGCGGUAAUACGGAGGGUGCAAGCGUUAUCCGGAUUCACUGGGUUUAAAGGGUGCGUAGGCGGAUAGGUAAGUCCGUGGUGAAAUCCUGCAGCUUAACUGCAGAACUGCCAUGGAUACUAUUUAUCUUGAAUGUCGUGGAGGUUAGCGGAAUAUGUCAUGUAGCGGUGAAAUGCUUAGAUAUGACAUAGAACACCCAUUGCGAAGGCAGCUAACUACGCGAUAAUUGACGCUGAUGCACGAAAGCGUGGGGAUCAAACAGGAUUAGAUACCCCAGUAGUCC
rnacentral:rRNA from 1 species